AUAACAACUCUCAAGGUGUAUCAGCUAAAUUAUCUUUUCGUUUUGAUAGUCUUUAGUCAACAACGGAUUUUUAAAUUGUUAUGAGUCUACAACACUUAAUUUCAGCGAAAUUCAAUUAAAAAGUCAUGUUAUAGAAGACAGAAAAGUAUCAAUAUCUGCUUUCAAUAACUUGGCUUUCAUAGCAAAUCUGAGAGACUGUUUACCGUAACUCCUGUCCUAAUCUAACUUAGUGGGUUCAAAAAGAAGGGACCGCGCUGGAAACAUGAGUGAAUUAAAAGGAUCAGCCCUUUUUGAACUAAUAGUCGAAGUGGUAACUAGCUAGAAGUCGUAACCUGCUCGUAUGAAAGGAUUUCUCGACGUGAAAUUGUUAAUUUUAUUCAACAACGCCAAGAAACAGAGCUCGCUCAAAAAACAGAAAAGAAAGAG